rnacentral:rRNA from 1 species
AUGGGUGUGUGUGGCGUCCUGUCGGACAUUGCCACCGUCGCGCAGCUGUCCGGGCUGCACGCUGUUAUGCUCAUCGCCCUGGCCGCGCACCUCCUGAGGAUUCCGAAGUGCGAGACGGAAUGCGCCAAGCUCGAGGGCUGCGCGCGCAAGCUCCACGUGCUGCUGGACAUGGCAACACAGCAUUUGGCGGUGGCUGAACUGGUCGCCGGGGCGCUGGCCGAAGCGGCCGACGUGGUGGACUCGUACCGCGGGAGCAGGCUCUGGCGACGCGUCCGGACUGGCAGGAGCAUGGAGGCGCGGCUCCGGGACAUGCGCAGUCGCCUCGACUGCUUGUGCACACUCGUGCUCUGCGUGCACGCCAAUCUCCUCACGGCGUCGGCGUCGGAUACUUGUGGAACAAUCAUCCAUUACACGGCGCUCAAGCUGCUGAUACUUCGGAUACUUCUGGCACCACGUGAGAUUUUCGAUCCAUCCAUGCAUAUCGUGGUCGAUGAGAAGUACCCUGAUUGUCUAUGUUUACUUGCUGAUGACUGGUGCAGGAACCAUCAUCCAUUACACGGCGCAGAGGUUUCUGAUAGUACUUCCAACAGUGGAAGCGGGACCGCCGUGCUGCUCUGGGCCGUCGCGGACGAGGCCGCCAUGCUGCAGCGGGACGCAGCGCGCGAGGCCGCCAUGUUGUUCCUGGCCGCCGCAGACGAGGCCGCUGUGCUGCACCAGGAUGCCGCGAACGAGGCUGUCGUGUUUCUCCGGGCCGCCGUGGACGAGGCUGUCGUGCUGCACCAGGCCGCUGCGCAGGCAAGCCCUAAACAGCAACAGUCAACAAUCUUCUCAGCAAAUUCCAACGCCAAUCUUGUGGUAGCCAAGCAGCACCCACUCAAUGCAACAUGGGGAAUUCCAUUCCUGGAUGGGAAGCAUUUCUUGAAGAUGUGUAAUCAAGUACUACUUCAAUGGGAUGAGCCUCAUGUGGAGGUGAAGAAACGUUGGAACUUUCAUGAUCAGCUCAUGCCGCUGUAUAGCACACACUCAGGGUAUUAUAGAGAAGAUUUCCCCAGUACGAGCCUCAUGGAUAAAACCCAUAAGUUACUGGCCAGUAUUUCAUCAGACGAUUCUGUUUGGAAGAUAAUUACCAGUGUUACGAGUCGAGCCGCACAAACUCCUCAGAGGAGAGGUGUUCUCAUUCGGCCCAUUGAGCCAUAUGAUUCAGAUGAUGGGCCACCAAUUAAGAAGCAAAGGACCCAAUAUCAAUUGCGAUUUGUCAAUACGGUGUCCAAUGACUACUUCACACGGGAGAAAAUCAAAUCAGAGGAUGGAAAUCUCUUAAAGGUAGCUUUGUAUGAUGAGAACAAUCUGGUAGUCACAUCAGGUCCACUAUCUUCAGCUUCUGUGGAGAUCGUACUACUUCAUGGUGAUUUCAAUGCUGAAGGUCAAGAUUAUUGGACAUCAGAGGAAUUCAGUGCCUGCCUAGUGCAUCCACAAUCUGUAAAAGAACCACCAGCCUUGGGAGGUGAUUGUGGCUUGGCACUGACGGAUGGAGAGGCAAACCUUGGUAGUAUCAAGUUCCAGAUUUCCUCCUCCCAUGCCAGAACUGGAAAGUUCAUAAUGGGUGUUGAGAUUAAAAAUUUAAGAGAAGAAAGUGUUCAAGAAGGAAUCACUAGCCCAUUUCUUGUGAAAGUUGGCCUAGGGGAAGCAAUUGGAACUGGAGAGGAGAUGGCGGAGACGCCAUUUGGGUCGUCGUUGCAGAUCACCACCACCUCCGCCGCGACAAAGAGGAAGCGGCGGCUGGCCGUGACACCAGACCUGAACGCGGACGUGGUGUUGCUGUCGCCGCAGACGCUGCUGGACUGGUACCUGUGCGAGAUCUGCAACCAGGGGUUCCAGCGCGAACAGAACCUGCAGAUGCACCGGCAGCGGCACAAGGUGCCGUUGAAGCUGCUGAAGCGGGAGGCCGGCGAGCCGGCGCGGAAGCGUGUGUUCGUGUGCCCGUAG